rnacentral:rRNA from 1 species
AUUGAACGCUGGCGGCAGGCCUAACACAUGCAAGUCGAGCGGAUGACGGGAGCUUGCUCCUUGAUUCAGCGGCGGACGGGUGAGUAAUGCCUAGGAAUCUGCCUGGUAGUGGGGGACAACGUUUCGAAAGGAACGCUAAUACCGCAUACGUCCUACGGGAGAAAGCAGGGGACCUUCGGGCCUUGCGCUAUCAGAUGAGCCUAGGUCGGAUUAGCUAGUUGGUGAGGUAAUGGCUCACCAAGGCGACGAUCCGUAACUGGUCUGAGAGGAUGAUCAGUCACACUGGAACUGAGACGCGGUCCAGACUCCUACGGGAGGCAGCAGUGGGGAAUAUUGGACAAUAGGCGAAAGCCUGACCCAGCCAUGCCGCGUGUGUGAAGAAGGUCUUCGGAUUGUAAAGCACUUUAAGUUGGGAGGAAGGGCAGUAAGUUAAUACCUUGCUGUUUUGACGUUACCGACAGAAUAAGCACCGGCUAACUCUGUGCCAGCAGCCGCCGUAACAC